rnacentral:rRNA from 1 species
UACAGAGGGUGCGAGCGUUGUCCGGAAUCACUGGGCGUAAAGGGCGCGUAGGCGGCCUUCUAAGUCGAACGUGAAAUCCCCGGGCUCAACCCGGGAACUGCGUCCGAUACUGGAAGGCUUGAAUCCGGGAGAGGGAUGCGGAAUUCCAGGUGUAGCGGUGAAAUGCGUAGAUAUCUGGAGGAACACCGGUGGCGAAGGCGGCAUCCUGGACCGGUAUUGACGCUGAGGAGCGAAAGCGUGGGGAGCAAACAGG